GAUGAACGCUGGCGGUAUGCUUAACACAUGCAAGUCGAACGGACUCUUCGGAGUUAGUGGCGGACGGGUGAGGAACGCGUGGGAAUCUGGCUUUGGGUUCGGGACAACCACUGGAAACGGUGGCUAAUACCGGAUGUGCCGAGAGGUAAAAGAGAAAUUGCAUGAAGAUGAGCUCGCGGUUGAUUAGCUCGUUGGUGAGGUACAGGCACACCAAGGCAGCGAGCAGUGGCAGGUUUGAGCUGACGCCCAGCCACACUGCGACUGGGACACAGCCCAGACUCCUCCUGCGGGAUGCAGGGGGGCAUUACCCGCAAUGGGCGAGUGCCUGACGAAGCUCUUCCGCUUGUAGGAAGAUGUUUCUAGGGUUGAAAACCUCUUUUCUUAGCGAAGAACAAAUUGACGGUACCUAAGGAAACAGCAUCGGCUAACUCCGUG
rnacentral:rRNA from 1 species